UACGUAGGGUGCAAGCGUUGUCCGGAAUUAUUGGGCGUAAAGAGCUUGUAGGCGGUUUGUCGCGUCUGCUGUGAAAUUUCGGGGCUCAACCCCGAACUUGCAGUGGGUACGGGCAGACUAGAGUGUGGUAGGGGAGACUGGAAUUCCUGGUGUAGCGGUGAAAUGCGCAGAUAUCAGGAGGAACACCGAUGGCGAAGGCAGGUCUCUGGGCAUUAACUGACGCUGAGGAGCGAAAGCAUGGGGAGCGAACAGG
rnacentral:rRNA from 1 species